rnacentral:rRNA from 1 species
GGGACGGACGUAGCUCUGGUGUGUCUGUUGUUUCGCCAGAAGCAUCGCAGAUUUGCUACCUACGGAAGGGAUAACCGCUGAAAGCAUCUAAGCGGGAAACCCGUUCCAAGAUAAGGAUUCCCACCGGGUUAACCGGGUAAGGCCCCCAGCUAGAUGACUGGGUUGAUAGGCCGGACGUGGAAGUGCAGCAAUGCACGGAGCUGACCGGUACUAAUAGGCCGAGGACUUGCCUU